rnacentral:rRNA from 1 species
AUGACUUGCAAUCCAAAAUGGGAAGAGAUAACGAAUGAGUUGCUGCCUGGUCAGACGGCGCAAGACCGACCUGAUAUUGUGGCUCGCGUGUUCUUUGGCAAACUAGAGGCUAUGAAGGACAUGUUGUUCAAGAAGCACAUCCUGGGUGUUGUCGUCGCAUAUGUAUAUGUUGUCGAGUUUCAAAAAAGGGGCCUCCCACACGCACAUUUUCUGUUGAUCAUGGACUCAACAUAUAAGCUUAUCGUCCCCGAGCAGUAUGACUGA